AAGGAGGGAACCCAGUAAGGUUAAAAUUUGUCAUGAGAGAGAGUCUGCAAUUACUAUAGCAAAAUGCCUGCUAGUUACGGUUACAGUUAGGUUAAAUUAGAGGACUGUUCCUCAACUGUAAUCAAGCUAAAUCAAAGGACUGUUAUUUUUCAAUCGUGGAGGGAACAUCAGAGGGAUCAGGCUGGCUUAGCUUAUUGGAAGCAGAUGGCAGACCAAAGGCAAGAAGGCCACAGUUUCAUGAAGCGUGGUUUGAACAUGCCAGGACCAUGUCGAGGGGCAUGCCCAUGGAUGAUGGCUACAUGUCAUCAUCUGUGCAUCCCAAUGCACUGGUUGAGGCGACGUUUGAAGAACUAUGCAUCAAUGACUUUUCAGUGAAUUGGUGGCUUUGAAGCCCCUUACUCCUGGUGCCCUGCUGCACUAUAAUCAGGAAUCAAAGGCUGGCGCCUGGGAUCCAUCAUCUCUGGCAAAGUGGUCGUGUGUUCAGUAACGCUGGCUAACUGAGUAUGUAAUUACUAGCUGUCUAGAGAUUACUUGAUUGACUAAACAUUAAAAAGAGCGAGUAAGAAGUAGAGCAAACAUUUGUGAAAAUGAUCAAGAGUAUGUAAGAGAGACUGUGUGUGUUAAUGUUCCUUCACAUUUCUCCAAACUGUGACAUUGUGAUGGUGCAUGUGCUGAAUUCACCAUUAAAAAGAGCCCAGUGUGGAUGAGAGCCCACUAAUGGACAGACAGUCUUAGCUAGCCAGUACACGGCACAAUACCAGAUGGUGCAGUGUUUCCCAUAUGGAAUAGACAAACACUAAGCACAUGUCAGAAUCCAACACUGUUUGCUCCAGCAGCAUCCUAGCCUUGGGAACAAAGUGGUCAUUCACACUAGUCAGUGCACUGUAUAAUUACCCAGAUAGACAUUAUGAGACACAAUGCCAGCUCAGUAAAACUGGAUAAAGAGGGCACUUAUGUCUGUACCCUCAACCUACCCAUCGUUCAUCCUGUCUGUGCUCCAGUUGCAUAAUUUGUCUCUCUUCACAUGAGAUGAAUGGGCAUGAGUCUAUAUAUUUCUGAUUCAACAUACAAAUCAAUUUGCCAAGGCUCAAUUAUGUGUGGAAAAUACUCUCAUACUUACUUUGCAACGCUUUAUGAGCAGUUUGUUUCAGUUAUUCACGCACCACUAUUUUACUGCACUGUAAUAUUAACAAUAAGGUCUUCAAUUGCU